ACCCAAGUCCAGAGGGUUUGAUGGACUUGCCCAGAACCACCUAGCCAUAAGCAAGAGGUGCAAAAUUGGAGCCCAGGGCACGUGAUUCCCAAUAAAUCAUUCUUUCUACAAGACCACAUGAUCCUUUCAGUUUGAGCCCUUCUCUGCUCCUUCCAAACAGAAGACACCAAGUUGUUUUCAGAGGCAAGGAAAACUUUGCUCCAUAUUUUUUGAGAUCAGGAGGUGGGAAGAACUUGAGUCUGAACUCUCCUCUUAUAGGUUCUUAAACUUCGGUAACUACUACUCGUGACUGACCUUUGGAAUCGCUCCAGCUGGCCACAGGAUGAGUCCUGAGGAAGAAACGAUUGCCAUGAGAACACUGCCCUGGGAAGCCUUUUGGAAGAUAAUUGACAAGGGGGCUCAGAUGAGUUGUCCGCAGCUGAGGCCAUCCUAGAUCAACCAACAGCCAGGCCAGCCAAGGGAGGAAGAACCAUCCAGCCAAACCCAGUCUAAAUCAUCAACCUGCAGAUUGUAAGUGAAAUAAAUGCCUGUGAAUUGACA